CUUGUGGCGAUGGUGCUUCUUCAAUGGAGUUGGGUGGAUAUUUCCAGGAUUUUGACCCAGUGACAAUGAAGUAUUUGUCCAAGUCUGGAUGUUUGGAAAGGUGAGACGGGCUGGGGAUGGACAGACCCACACCUGCAGUCAAAGACAAGGUACAAGCGACAGAUAUCACAAGAUAUACAGAGAUGACAACGGAACUCAAUUGAAACCAAAAGGACGAUUUGAC